GCGGAGGGUGAAGCAGAGAGGAUCUGCCGGGGUCUUGGACACCCACGGCCGGAUGCUAACCCAUCCGGUGCGGUUCGAGUCCGCCGCCCUCCGCC
rnacentral:tRNA from 1 species